rnacentral:rRNA from 1 species
GAUGAACGCUGGCGGCGUGCCUAAUACAUGCAAGUCGAGCGAACGGACGAGAAGCUUGCUUUUCUGAUGUUAGCGGCGGACGGGUGAGUAACACGUGGAUAACCUACCUAUAAGACUGGGAUAACUUCGGGACACCGGAGCUAAUACCGGAUAAUAUUUUGAACCGCAUGGUUCAAAAGUGAAAGACGGUCUUGCUGUCACUUAUAGAUGGAUCCGCGCUGCAUUAGCUAGUUGGUAAGGUAACGGCUUACCAAGGCAACGAUGCAUAGCCGACCGGAGAGGGUGAUAGGCCACACUGGAACUGGGACACGGUCCAGACGCCUACGGGAGGCAGCAGUAGGGAAUCUUCCGCAGUGGGCGAAAGCCUGACGGAGCAACGCCGCGUGAGUGAUGAAGGUCUUCGGAUCGUAAAACUCUGUUAUUAGGGAAGAACAUAUGUGUAAGUAACUGUGCACAUCUUGACGGUACCUAAUCAGAAAGCCACGGCUAACUACGUG